rnacentral:lncRNA from 1 species
UUUUUUAUAGUUUUGAAUUUUUUUUUCUUUUUGGGUAUUGCUAAGGAUCAAAUAUAGAUCUACUAUUUAUUUUUUAUAACAUCCAUUAGUAUUUUUAUAACUUACUACAUAGUUUGCCAAUUCUUUUAUACAUGUCCAUCAAACAUGUAAGUCAUAAUUUAUAUAAACCUUGUGUUAAAGCUGGAGGCACAGAAGGAAGAUUGCUACAGAGUGAAGUCUAGACUAGCCAGGGCUAUAUAGUGGGACCCUGUUGCAAAGAAAAAGUUCUCUCUUUAAACACAAAGGCAGUAUGAAAAGACAUACCUUGAUUCUGAAGCUGUGCAUAGGAAUGCCUCACACAGUGUUCUGCUCAGGACUAUACUCAGAUGCAGUGGUCUGAGGGACUUGGUGGUGUCUCAGCCAAAAUAACCUGGAGUUUAGUAGGAAAGUCUCCUUUAUCCGUGUCCAGUCCUGAAGGGAAGCCUUAUUUAUGUAUGAUGAGUCAGGACCCAUUGUCUUCAUCUUACUUGGCAUCCCCCCAGCACUGAGUCUCUGAGUUAGCCUUACUUGGACAGAGUGACUCUCUGGGCACUCUGGACAGCAUCUCCUGCUUCAAAAGGGCAAGAUCUUUAGAAGACACAGAGAUGGAGCAGGUCUUACAUGGAGAUAUAGCAGCUUUUCCUUCCUGACCCUUGACCCAAUGCUUCUUUGGAAAUCCUCAUGAAACCCUGCUCCUUUCUGGAGACCCACCCCACAGCAGGGUUAUCCAUGCCAAGCUUCCUGUACUUUCUCUUUUUGAGGAAGCACAUACACACAAAGUUUUAGUAGCUCGCACAUCUCACUGUGAAGUAGUGAUACUUUCAUUGCUAUCUUCUGGAAACAGGCAGGAGUAGGCACACGCUCAGAGCAUAGCUGCACUCUCAUUCACUUGCCACCCUGAGGCAGAGCACACGACUUUGUGAUCUGCUAUGGAGGAGAGAGAAAUGAGUAGUUAGGUGUGUAUAAAUAAGCUAACACCAUCACCCCUUUAUCUUUCACUAGGGAAAUGUAAAAAGAAAUCUGAAAUUAUUUUGUAAAAAAGUAAGCUGCUUCAUGACACAUGUCCCCUCUUGUGGGUUCUUCCAAGGUCUCGCUGUGGCCAGUGCCCUGGUGGACAUUUCUCAGCAGAUGCCAAUAGUGUACAAGGAGAAGUCAGGAGCUGUAAGAAACCGGAAGCAGCAGCCGCCUGCACAGCCUGGAACCUGCAUUUGAUACUGGGGCAGGAAUUCGCCCUCACAGAGGGCGUGUGGUCCACGAAGCUGUCUACAGGGGAGGCUGCAGGCAGGAAGCAGGCGUGGGGCAGAAGACUGGGGACCCUUGAAGCGUCCAACUCAUGUGCAUGAUCAUGCAAGCUGUUUUCAUGGCUCACCCCUCUGUGUCCAGCAUCUAACCUUUUACUUCUGUGUAGGAAAUAAUUUAAUUACAAGUCCAGGAAUGGUCUGCUCUACUCAUGGGUGGAGGAGACCAGUGCCGACCCCGUGAGAGCUGAAGGUGAUGCUGAGGUCCCUUGUGGAAGCCUCUCUUGGGAAUCUCAACUGCAGAGGAGCUGCCCUCUGUCAGCAGCUCUCCAGCAUGGUCCUCUGACACUCCUCAGAUGAACUGUUCUCAUCGGAAGCUUGCUGUCUUUUUACAAGAUGAGCUUUUACUCUCUUCCAGGAAGUAGCUUUUUUUCUAGCUGAGAAUUAAUAAUGGUCUUUCUCUUUGGAAGUCAUAUCAAAGUAUAAUUGAUGGGGGCCUUGUUUUGUUUUGUUUUGGUUUUUGGAGACAGGGUCUCACUGUGUAGUCCUAGCUGGCCUGGAACUCACUAUGUAGAUCAGGCUGGACUGAACUCACAAAGAUCCACCUGCCUCUGCCUCACAAAUGCUGGGAUAAAAAGCAUGAACCACCAGGCCCAGCAAAGAGGGCUAUUCUAAAUGUCAAGGUCAAUGGAGUUAGAAUAUAUAUAAAAAAAUGCAAUUGAUAAUUCUCUAUAGAAACUUGAUUAAUUUUAAUCCAUUCUUUCCUUCUCUUUCUCUCACUCUGUCUUACACACAUGCACACAUACACACACACUAAGUGCCUAGACUUUGAAUAGAUCUAGCAAUUGGACAUUAGUAAGCCUAAGUUUUUACAUGAUUGCAUUCCUACAUUCUUGUAAACUUUAAGUAACUACCAUUGCAGUUUGUUCUUUUUUUAAAGUCUAAUUUGCAGCCAAGAACGAGUAAUUCUCACCCCAAGCAACAUCUAAUAGGGACUGAGUGACCCCAGCCCAGCCUAGUGUCACUUUAGGCCUGACGUUUGAGCAACCCUCGGCUCUUGCCAAGGCACCACAGAAUGCACUUGCUCAUGCCCUGUGCCUCUUGAGCAGAAAAGAGCACUGACAACUGGGACACCUGGCUCUGUCUUCCUACAGCUGCUCGCACUGACCUGUGGGAACCUGUGGGUCAUCCCCAGGCUGAAUGGAGUACACACUAGAAGAGGGAUGAUGCCUAGCAUUGGGGCAGCAUCUGCUCAGCACAUGGAAAGGGACCUGGUUCCAUCUCCCCUGGGCAGGAGUUGGUCCAGCCUCCUCCCAGACCCAGCUGGUGGCUGUGAGGAGGUGGGGAAUGCUAAUGAGAAUGAAAAGCACAUGGGUUGAUGGGAAGGGACAAGAUUACCACGUUAGGAGGGUGAGCAGCCCUCUGCUAUGUGCCCAGGACCCUGCCUGGACAUUGCAUUUCCCCAUUUAUGGUGCUCCGUAUUCUGGCAUUAUGCAGCAGCCUCACACACCUGUCCUCUCCUUCUUCAUGUCCUACAGUUCUGCUAUCACCUGACUAGAAUAGCCCUCUAGGCAACAGUGCUCAAAUGUAUGAGUUUGGAGAAGUUAACAAUCAGAAGAACAAAAACUGUAGUGUUUCACCUUUAAAUGCAGUGUUGAAGAGGGAGCCUUUCUCUAAGCCCUGCACUAACCCACUCCUCCCAAGACUCUUGUGGAGUGACAGUUCCAAGCUGAACCAUAAAUCACUGAUGCACAAAACACUGCUAGAAGGCUCACCUCUCAAAACACGACUCUUUGCAUCACUAUUAAAGAGCAGAAAGUUCUAGAAAUGAUCCCAGCCUCAUCCCCUAUACAGUUAGGAGCUCCCCACAUCUCUACCAAAACCCAGCACAUAAGUAUCUGCGUGGUCUAGCCUUUCAUCUCCGUAACAAGCCAGGGGACUCUUGGCCAAAAGAAAGAAAGGGAAGUUGCACUAGGGCUUGUCCGUCCAUAAGGAAUUCCCCUCUGCUUUGCUCAAAGGACCAAAUUUCUUUGGCCAAAGAAGUUGCUUCUAUGUUAGUCCCAUACCCUGAAGUAAUAUGUACCAUGGCUCCCACCUACCUGUUUAUGCUCUCCCUGCCCCCAGGGAAACUGUUUAUUCUUUCAAAAGAAGCAAACAGCGUUCAUUUCUGCUCCUGUAAUGGAGAAACAGCCAGCUCCCCUGCAUCCCUUACAGCCAACAGCUCCCUUCAGGCUUAGAGCAGGGGGAAUGGCAGGGAUUAAGAGCUCAGCUCAGAGCCAGUUACCAAGAUGGAAUGGAGUUGUGACCCAGUAACUGUGUCACGAGAGACCAUGUAUAUAAAAUAGUCAUGACGACACUGACCUCUUGCACUUGUACAUAACUAUACUGUAGUGUCCAGAAUGUUCAGACAUUCAGGGUGUACAUAAACAGAAGAGUAUCAUAAUGUAUUUUUAUUAAACACUAACAUCUGAGUUUCACCUAAUCUGUUUCUGUGCCAUAUACUGGGUAUCCAAGCUCUGGGAAGUUAUCCUACCAGGCCCUGAUCUGUUGAUAAGGCACUAUACACCAUGCUGGUGUGUUCUGUAGCCUUGUGCCCAUUAGGUAACUGAACAAUGAUUCAGCUCUUAGAAUACCUAGGAAGACAGCAAGCAGGGUGACACACGGCUGUGAUCUAAGCAUUCAGAAGACAGAGGCAGGAAGAAAAUUCAAAAAUGGGGCUGGAGAGAUGGCUCAGUGGUUAAAAGCACUGGCUGCUCUUGGUCAGGACACUAGUUCAGUUCCCAGUACCCACAUGGUGGCUCACAACCUUCUGUGACUACAGUUCCAGAUAACCUGACACCCUCCUCUGGCCUCCUCGGGUGCCUGUGGUGGUCCACCUGGUGCACAGACAAACACCCAAUACACACAAAACAAAAGUAACUCAAGAAUAGCCUGGGCUACAUAGCAAGAGCCUGUCUCAAAACAAACGAACCUAUGAAGAGCCAGGCAGUCUAUCUAUUUACAUGGCAGUAUACUAGAGAAACUCAGGAAGCAAGAGUGUUCAUCACUGUUGUAAUUUCAAAUGCUCCUUGUGAUUUCUGGCAUCUCUGUGGGGUGAGGUGUUCUGUUACUCUUCACAUUCAAAGACUGUCACCCAUGAACGUCAGACUUUGCAAAGGGGCUCUCUAAGCUGCACUGUUGUGGCUUUGUCUAAAAUUUUAAUGACGUUUCUGAGAACCAUGUUCUUUUUAUACUAAAAUCUGGGGAUGGGAGGGCUCAUUUGUUGAUAAAUAGCACUAUUUUCCCACACCUCAGCCUCCUGUCCCCGUCCUGGUCUUCCCUACACAGUCUGGAGAGGGCUCUGAAAGGUCCACAGAGUUUGACAGACACGAAAGCAACCCAUUGCCCCGUUGACCUGACCUGGAAGAAGACUGUCAGCAAAAGGAAAAUACCAGAAUAUCUGGAAAGCUUGAAGUGUAAGAUGGGAUCUCGUUGGGGAAUUGGAUGAAGAAAAGCAGAGCGCCUCUGGUAGGUGACUCUGCAGCCUGCCAGCGCCCGCCCUCUUUCUACACAGCAGAGUGUGCAUGGCAAGGAAAUGAGUCACCUCCUUGGGGGAUGGUGCUGUUUUUAUGAAAACCUCUGAUCCUUGGUGUCCUUUAAUUGAUCUGUUCAACAAAUAUUUACUAAACACUUCUAAGCUAACAUUAGGGCAGUGACUGAGGUGGAAACCCAGCUCUUUAGACAGCUGUCAUCCUAGGAUAGCUUCCUGGAAGCAGAACCAAGAAGCCAGAAGGUUCUUCCUAGGGUGGCCUUGGCUCCCUGAAGGAAUCUGAAAUGCUGACCCUGUCACAACCUCCCAGCACAGCUUUGGAAUG